GGGAACCCCAGCAUGUGUUCUCUGAGACGCCCUGCCCUUGGAAGAGAAGCCGGCUCUAGUUAUCUGUUAGCACAUGCUGCCCUCUAUCGGCUCCCUUGGCAACAGCAGCCCCAUGCCUUCGUGGAGGGUCCACAAAGAGAUUCCUUGCAAAACUGACCUGAAAUUUGGGCCAUGUUCAUCUGUGAUGCCUGACGGUGCUGAUUCAGCCUCAGAGGAGCCCGGCAUCUUUCUAAAGUGAGAGGGAAGACUGCAGAGCUGAGGAAGAGCUUUGCUGUGGCCAGAGAAGAGGCAGGGGCAGGGCUUCCAGAAGGAGUCCCGAGAACGCGGUCCUGUCGCACUGCCAGCUCUCAGGAAAGGGCCACCUUGGAAUGCCAUCCCUACAUGUGGCACGCAGACCCCUACAAGGCACCAACCGGCCCAAGGCGACGGCCCAUAGGGAUAACCAGGCAGACAGAAAAUCAGAGGGGCCGCCUUGAGUGUUCUCUGCUUACGACUCUGGGGCCUUUACGUUCUGAACAACUGAAAGGAACUGGGGAGAGAAGUGAGAAUGGGAGAAAAAGGGCAUCUUUUUUUUUUUUUUUUUUGAAUUGCAUCUUUUUUUUUUGCUAUGUUUUUAAAUUUUUUACUUGAAUUUAAUUUUUAACUUGAUUUAUAAUAUUGUGUUAGUUUUCCACUUACAGAAGAGGGAUUCAGCAUUUCUGCAGAUCCCAUCCCGUUAUAGGUUAUUAUAAAACAUGAGUUAUAAUGCCCUAUGGUCUGCAGUAGAUCACUGUUGGGUCUCUGUUUUACGUACUGUCAUUUCUAUCUGCUAAUCCCAGGCUCAGAAUUUGUCCCUCCCUUUGGUACCCACAAGUUUGUUAUCUAUGUCUGUGAGUCUGCUUCUGUUUUGUAUAUACAUUCAUCUGUAAUAUUGUUUAAGUUCCACAUACAAGUGAUAUCACAAUAUUUGUCUCUCUCUGUCUGACAUAUCUAUCAAUAAGGGUAAUAUUCCCCAGGUACAUCCUCAUUGCUGUAAAUGGCAGUUGUUAGGGUUGAGAAAUAUUCCAUUGUAUAUGUAUGUAUAUACCAUAUCUUCUUAAUCUAAUCGUCUGUUAUACUAGGGGUGUUUCCAUGUCUUCGCUAUUGUAAGUAGUGCUGCUGUGAACAUGCAGAUGCCUGUAUCUUUUUGAGUUAGUAAUUUUGUUUAUUUCCAGAUAUACCCCCAGAAGUGGAAUUGCUGGAUCAUAUGACAAUUCUAUUGUUCAGGUUUUUUUUUAAAUUGGAGUAUAUUAAUAGUUUCUUUACAAUGUUGUGUUAAGGACUGCAUUACUUUGAUUUAGUAAAAAUGACCUGAGUUUCCAGAGCAAAAUUCCUAUUGUCCAAAUAUAAAUAAAAUGGAGACAGCCUAGCGU
ensembl:lncRNA